GACGAACGCUGGCGGCGUGCUUAACACAUGCAAGUCGAACGAAGAGCGAUGGAAGCUUGCUUCUAUCAAUCUUAGUGGCGAACGGGUGAGUCACGCGUAAUCAACCUGCCCUUCAGAGGGGGACAACAGUUGGAAACGACUGCUAAUACUGCAUACGAUCUAAUCUCGGCAUCGAGGAGAGAUGAAAGGUGGCCGCUAAAUGUAAGCUAUCACUGAAGGAGGGGACUGCGGCUGAUUAGUUAGUUGGAGGGGUAACGGACCAUCUAGGCGAUGAUCAGUAGCCGGUCUGAGAGGAUGAGCAGCCGCAUUGGGACGGAGACACGGCCCAGACUCCUACGGGAGGCAGCAGGGGGGAAUCUUCCGCAAUGGACGAAAGUCUGACGGAGCAACGCCGCGUGAGUGAGGACGGCCUUCGGGUUGUAAAGCUCUGUUAAUCGGGACGAAAGGCCUUCUUGCGAAUAGUGAGAAGGAUUGACGGUACCGGAAUAGAAAGCCACGGCUAACUACGUG
rnacentral:rRNA from 1 species